UUUUUCAAAACAUCGCUCUUUGGUUAUAAUAUAUAGAGAGUCGUACCUGCCCAGUGAAGUUUAAACGGCCGCAGUACCCUGACUGUGCUAAGGUAGCAUAAUCAUUUGCCUUUUAAUUGGAGGCUAGAAUGAAUGGUUUGACGUGAAUUUAGCUGUCUCUUUUGUAUUAUAUAAAAUUUAAUUUUUAGGUGCAGAAGCCUAAAUGAUUUUAAAAGACGAAAAGACCCUAUCGAGCUUGAAAGAAAAAUAGAAUUUUGUUUACUUUAGUUAAGUAGUUUUUUAUUAUUAAUUUUGUUGGGGUGACAGAAGAACAGAUAAAGCUUCUUUUGAUUAUAAAAAUGAAUAAAUUUUUUGAUCCAUUAUGUAGUGAGAAUAAGAGUAGUUACCGUAGGGAUAACAGCGUUAUUUUUUUGGAAAGUUCGAAUUGAAGAAAAAGUUUGCGACCUCGAUGUUGGAUUAGAAUACCUAUUAGGUGGAGAUGCUUAAUAAGGAGGUCUGUUCGCCCUUUAAUUUUCUACAUGAUCUGAGU
rnacentral:rRNA from 1 species